rnacentral:rRNA from 1 species
AACGCAGCGAAGGGCGAUAAGUAAUGCGAAUUGCAGAAUUCCAGUGAGUCAUCGAAUCUUUGAACGCACAUUGCGCCCUUUGGUAUUCCGAAGGGCAUGCCUGUUCGAGCGUCAUUAUCACCCCUCAAGCCCCGUGCUUGGUGUUGGACGGCUUGGUCGCGUCACCGCGACUCCUCCUAAAGACAAUGACGGCGGCCUGUGGUUCCCGCGGUACACUGAGCUUUUAAUUGAGCACGUAUUGGAUAAGGGCGCCCGGGACCCGGUCUUCUCCCUUUACCGGGAAAUUUUUCAAUGGUUGACCUCGGAUCAGGUAGGAAUACGCGCUGAACUUAA